UACGAAGGGGGCUAGCGUUGCUCGGAAUCACUGGGCGUAAAGCGCACGUAGGCGGCUUCUUAAGUCAGGGGUGAAAUCCUGGAGCUCAACUCCAGAACUGCCUUUGAUACUGAGGAGCUUGAGUCCGGGAGAGGUGAGUGGAACUGCGAGUGUAGAGGUGAAAUUCGUAGAUAUUGCGAAGAACACCAGUGGCGAAGGCGGCUCACUGGCCCGGUACUGACGCUGAGGUGCGAAAGCG
rnacentral:rRNA from 1 species